rnacentral:snoRNA from 1 species
AUUUCGUGAUGAGGGCAUUAUUGUAACAGUUCUUUAAAUCUUUCCGGCACUUCUUACAAGGACUCGUCUUCCAUCUAUUAGAAGGUAGUGAUUUCAUUCUACAACU